UGGGGAAUAUUGCACAAUGGGGGGAAACCCUGAUGCAGCAACGCCGCGUGAGUGAAGAAGUAUCUCGGUAUGUAAAGCUCUAUCAGCAGGGAAGAAGACAGACGGUACCUGACUAAGAAGCCCCGGCUAACUACGUGCCAGCAGCCGCGGUAAUACGUAGGGGGCAAGCGUUAUCCGGAUUUACUGGGUGUAAAGGGAGCGCAGGCGGCGAAGCAAGCCAGAGGUGAAAACCCGGGGCUCAACCCCGAGGAUUGCCUUUGGAACUGUUUUGCUCGAGUGCUGGAGGGGCAGGCGGAAUUCCUGGUGUAGCGGUGAAAUGCGUAGAUAU
rnacentral:rRNA from 1 species